AGUUAGUGGUAAAGCCCUUGCAUUAGGUAUCUGAAGUGUUGCAGGAUCUUUAGUCACUAGCUGC
rnacentral:pre_miRNA from 2 species